rnacentral:rRNA from 1 species
UACGGGGGGGGCAAGCGUUGUUCGGAAUUACUGGGCGUAAAGGGCUCGUAGGUGGCCAACUAAGUCAGACGUGAAAUCCCUCAGCUUAACUGGGGAACUGCGUCUGAUACUGGAUGGCUUGAGUUUGGGAGAGGGAUGCGGAAUUCCAGGUGUAGCGGUGAAAUGCGUAGAUAUCUGGAGGAACACCGGUGGCGAAGGCGGCAUCCUGGACCUACACUGACACUGAGGAGCGAAAGCCAGGGGAGCAAACGGG